GUGUGGGACGGUGGAGGAAUCGCGGGCAGCGGCUGGGAGGACGGGGCGGGCAACCUGCCCGGGCUGCCCGAGAUGGGGGGCGUGCGCUCUAUAAGUUCCGGUGCUGUGUAGCUGAACGUAGUUUGCCGCUUUAGCUCUUUGAGUCUAUCUUCGAAGAUCUGAAGGAAAUCAAGGACAGAAAAAUGGCAUCCAACUUCGUGAGCAAGGAAGACCACCACGAUUACCACCAGCACUACCAGGCACCAUCGCCGCCGGGAGUUCGGAGGACUUGGUCCUCCAACUCAUCCGCCUGCGGCCAGGGGGCCGUCCCGAAGUGCGUGUGCGCUCCGACAACCCACGCGGGUUCCUUCAAGUGCCGUCUCCACAGGACGAGUUCCCACAGCCACACCCCCGCCUCCCCCACCUCUAUCCCUCCGCCGCCGCGCGUGAACACCUCCCGCGCCCCCACCGUGGAGGCCCAGUGACUACAAGAAAGCUUCAGAAGUAGGGAUAUGUUUGGUGAUUCCCGAUGGUUAUGGAGAUAAUUAUGGCGUCUAGAGGAUGGAGGAGAGAGCGAGAGACGGGUGUUACCAGUGUUGUAAUUAGUCCUUUCCCGUAAUAGCUAGUUCUGUUUUCCGUGUGUGAGAGAUGAUACCUCAUGUAGUAGUUUCAUUUGGAGAUCUUGUUGUUGUUGAAGCUGUUCUUGUAGAUAUUAUCCGCUUCCAAGCACCAAAGAAAACAAAAACGAGUGUUGCUAUCUGUAAUGUUCUAAUCCGAUCAAGUCGUGGAUAAACAUCAGUGUUUGAGAAAGGACAGAUACAACAAUCAACAGGUGGCAGACUCAGUGGGGGUAUGCGAUCAACCAUUGUGAGUUCUUGGGCAUCAAGCAGCAGGAUGCAAGAUGAUUGCCCCCAGUGUGUUCCAUGAAUUGCGCGUCCUCUGGUAAGAGGUUAUUUCUUUGUUCCCAGGUGUGUGUGUGUGGAUGUAGUUUCUUGUAGUUUUACUGUGAGUCCUCGAAAUCUAUGGCAAAAGAAGUCUUGGCCUGCCGAAA